rnacentral:rRNA from 1 species
UACGUAGGGUGCAAGCGUUAUCCGGAUUCACUGGGUUUAAAGGGUGUGUAGGCGGACAGUUAAGUCAGCGGUGAAAUCUCCGGGCUCAACCCGGAAACUGCCAUUGAUACUAUCUGUCUUGAAUAUUGUUGAGGUGGGCGGAAUAUGUCAUGUAGCGGUGAAAUGCUUAGAUAUGACAUAGAACACCGAUUGCGAAGGCAGCUCACUAAACAAUGAUUGACGCUGAGGCACGAAAGCGUGGGGAUCAAACAGG